AUGUCAGAUGCGGCAGUGGACACCAGCUCCGAGAUCACCACCAAAGACUUGAAGGAGAAGAAGGAAGUUGUGGAGGAGGCAGAGAAUGGAAGAGAUAUACCUGCCAAUGGGAACGCUCAAAAUUAAGGAAAAUGGGGAGCAGGAGGCUGACAAUGAAGUAGAGGAAGAAGAGGAAGAAGGUGGGGUGGAAGAGGAGGAGGAGGAGGAAGGUGACGGUGAGGAAGAGGAUGGAGAUGAAGAUGAGGAAGCUGAGGCUCCUUACGGCAAGCGGGUAGCUGAGGAUGAUGAGGAUGACGACGUCGACACCAAGAAGCAGAAGACCGAGGAGGAUGACUAGACAGCAAAAGGAAAAGUAACCUUACGCANCGUGACCUAUUCACCCUCCACUUCCCGUCUCAGAAUUUAAACGUGGUCACCUUCGAGUAGAGAAGCAGGCCCUGCCAGCCCA